CCUACGGGUGGCAGCAGUGAGGAAUAUUGGUCAAUGGUCGGGAGACUGAACCAGCCAAGCCGCGUGAGGGAUGAAGGUACAGAGUAUCGUAAACCUCUUUUGUCAGGGAACAAAGGCGGGGACGCGUCCCCGGAUGAGUGUACCUGAAGAAAAAGCAUCGGCUAACUCCGUGCCAGCAGCCGCGGUAAUACGGAGGAUGCGAGCGUUAUCCGGAUUUAUUGGGUUUAAAGGGUGCGUAGGCGGUCUUUUAAGUUAGCGGUAAAAGCCCGGGGCUCAACCCUGGCGCGCCGUUGAAACUGGCAGUCUCGAGUUGGAGAGAAGUAUGCGGAAUGCGCGGUGUAGCGGUGAAAUGCAUAGAUAUCGCGCAGAACUCCGAUUGCGAAGGCAGCAUGCCGGCUCCACACUGACGCUGAGGCACGAAAGCGUGGGUAUCGAACAGGAUUAGAUACCCGGGUAGUC
rnacentral:rRNA from 1 species